rnacentral:rRNA from 1 species
AUUAAGUGCCCCGCCUGGGGAGUACGAUCGCAAGAUUAAAACUCAAAGGAAUUGACGGGGCCCCGCACAAGCAGCGGAGCAUGCGGCUUAAUUCGACGCAACGCGAAGAACCUUACCAAGGCUUGACAUAUAGGGAAAAGUGGCAGAGAUGUCAUGUCCGCAAGGGCCCUAUACAGGUGGUGCAUGGUUGUCGUCAGCUCGUGUCGUGAGAUGUUGGGUUAAGUCCCGCAACGAGCGCAACCCUCGUUCUGUGUUGCCAGCAUUUAGUUGGGGACUCACAGGAGACUGCCGGGGUUAACUCGGAGGAAGGUGGGGAUGACGUCAAAUCAUCAUGCCCCUUAUGUCUUGGGCUGCACGCAUGCUACAAUGGCCGGUACAGAGGGCUGCAAUACCGUAAGGUGGAGCGAAUUCCAAAAAGCCGGUCUCAGUUCGGAUUGAGGUCUGCAACUCGACCUCAUGAAGUUGGAGUUGCUAGUAAUCGUAGAUCAGCAACGCUACGGUGAAUACGUUCCCGGGGCUUGUACACACCGCCCGUCAC